GAGCAUCACCUGUAAGACAGAGAGGUAGAUCUGUGUGUGACAAUGGACGCUAUUGUAGUAUUAGCUGUGUUGCUGGGGACUUUAUCUUAUGGUCACUGUGUUGAACUCACACAGCCAGGCUCUAUGGCUGUGAAACCAGGAGAGUCUCUGACCAUCUCCUGUAAAGUCUCUGGGUAUUCCCUCACUGAUAGCUAUUGUACAGCCUGGAUUCGACAGCCUGCAGGGAAAGCACUGGAGUGGAUUGGAGUUUUUUGCUAUGAUGGAAGCACUGCUUAUAAAGAUUCACUGAAGAGCAAGUUCACCAUCUCCAGAGACACCUCCAGCAGCACAAUGUCUUUACAAGGGAGCAACCUGCAGACUGGAGACACAGCUGUGUAUUACUGUGCCCGACAGCCACAGUGA